CCGAGUGUUUUCCUACGUCACCUCCUGCGCGGUAGAUACAGAGGUAGCACGUUGCUAGCUAGCGCCUGCUACGUUCAUACAGAUUUUAAAGUUGUUACUUACUUGAGAUCACGCUGUUGGCCAUCUGCAGCUCCGCGGACGAAUGCUCACUUGUAUUUAACACCACUUUAGCCCUGCGAACGUACUUUGUUGCUAUAUUUGACUGUUGACGACAUGGCUAGCCUCGUUAGCUACUACCAUUAGCGAUGGAAGCAGCGGUGCAAACAACUUAGCGCGUCUGCAAACUUUUAGCUAAACGCUCGUAACCACAAGAUGAGUCCACAUGGAUCACUUGUUCAGCGGGUAACAACUUGUACAGGCUAGUUCAGCGUGUGAUUGGCAGACAUCGGAGUGUAUGCUAGUUAACUUUAAAGUCCUUCAACAUGUCAAAUCAGCUGACAGCGGCGCAGCAGCAAAAAAUUGAAGAGAACAGACGGAAGGCUUUAGAGAGAAGAGCCGAGAGACUUGGACAGACUAUCAGCACUAAUAAACAGAGCUCAGCAGGCUCCAGCAGCACUUCAGUGCAAACACAGCUCCCCAAACAGAGCAUUUCUACGGAUCCUGCUCAUGAGAGACAAACAGCAGCUUCUGCACCUAAACGGUUUGUUCCACCCUUCAAAAAGGACUCGCAGAGCUUUAGUGAUCACAACCAACACCCACACCAUCAGUAUUUGUCCAGCGGCGGCAAUAAAACCAGCCGGAGUUCACUGUUUAAUUCUACUUCUUCAAGACAGAUACAAAUCAUUGACCCACCUCCUCGAACAAGUCCACAUUUGAACAGCCAAGUCUUGUCUGGUGGAGGAAGCACAGGUGUCAAACUAGCUCACCCUAAACCUACCAUCACAUCCAGCAGCUCUGGUGGUUCAGUAAACUCAUUCUUCAAGCAAACUAGUAAACCUGCCCAAAGCCCUGCAGCACAGCUUCCCUCAAACUCCACAGCUUCAAAUCCUGUACCUGCAAAAAAGCCCGCCAUCUCUGUCCGAGGAAAAUGUGUAGCUCACACAGAGGACCGCUUCAGAGUAGAAGUGAACUACCAUGCAGAGCUUAUUGCUGUUUUCAAAUCCAUCCCUUCGAAGAAUUACGACCCUGCCACGAAGAUGUGGAACUUCAGUGUGGAACAUUAUCAACAGCUAAUGGAGGAGGCAGCUGCUAUCGCCUCUGUGUCUUUGAGGCCUCUGGAGGGAAUGGAAGCCGUGGACGUUGCAGCAGCCACCAGCCGAGCUCGUGACGGCGCCGCGCUGACGGCGCUGCUAAAGCUGUGCAAUGGCUGGCAGAAACCUGGAGCCACGCUGCAGGGCCAGUGCAUCCUGGUGUCUCGGUCGAAGUUUGAAGUUGACAUCGGUUACCGUGCUGAUGUCAUUGCAGCGUUCAAGCAAAUGCCAACAAAAAACUACGACAUGAAAACAAGAAAAUGGAGCUUUUCACUUGAGGACUACAAGAGCCUCAUGGAUCUCCUCAGUGGGAUAGCAGCAGUGGAGGUGGAGCCUCUGCCCAGGGCAAUAAUCCAGGCUUUCUCUGCCAGGUUCGAUGGGACUGAAGCCAGGUCUUUAGACGUCCCUGAGGCAGACCUCUCCAGCAUCGACCCCUCACUUACCUGCAGCCUCAUGCCCUUCCAGAGGGAGGGAGUCAAUUUUGCAGUGUUUAAACAAGGCCGCCUCCUCCUGGCUGAUGACAUGGGCCUGGGUAAGACGAUACAAGCCAUCUGUAUAGCAGCUUACUACAGGAAUGAGUGGCCCUUAUUGGUGGUGGCUCCCUCCUCCGUACGAUUCACCUGGGCUGAGGCCUUCAGACGCUGGCUCCCCUCCCUGAGUCCUGACAGCAUCAAUGUGGUGGUGAAGGCCAAAGACAACCUGCGGUCCGGUUUGAUCAACAUCAUCAGCUAUGACCUGCUGAGUAGGAUGGAGAAGCAGCAGAAAGGAAACUCCUUCAAUGUUCUCAUCAUGGAUGAGUCUCACUUUCUGAAGAACAUUAAAACUGCUCGUUGUAAAGCAGCCUUGCCCCUGCUGAAGGCAGCAAAGAGAGUGAUUCUUCUGUCUGGGACCCCUGCCAUGUCCAGACCGUCUGAGCUCUAUACCCAGAUUCUGGCUGUCAGACCGACGCUCUUUCCUCGCUUCCAUGAGUUCGGGAUGCGCUAUUGCGAUGCCAGACAGAUGGUUUGGGGCUGGGACUACUCGGGCUCUUCUAAUCUCGGAGAGCUGAAGCUGCUGCUGGAGGAGUGUCUGAUGCUGCGCCGUCUCAAAUCUGACGUCCUCUCCCAGCUUCCUUCUAAACAGCGCAAGGUGGUCACCGUGACCAUAGAUGGGAUUAACACCCGCUUAAAAGCUGCUCUCUCUGCUGCGGCCAAGGAGCUGGCCAAAGGACAUCGCAGCAAACUGGAAGAGAAGGAAGCCCUCCUCGUCUUUUAUAACCACACAGCUGACGCCAAGCUACAGGCCAUUAUGGAGUACAUCAUAGAUAUGCUGGAGUGUGGGAGGGAGAAGUUUCUCGUGUUUGCCCAUCAUAAAUUAGUCCUGGAUCAUAUCACCACUGAACUACGGAAAAAGAACGUCCCUUUCAUUCGUAUUGAUGGGGCCACGCCGUCGGCAGAGCGACAGCAGCUCUGUGAGAAGUUCCAGUUCUCAACCAAGACCUGUGUGGCUGUACUGUCGAUCACUGCAGCUAAUAUGGGUAUCACGUUGCACGCUGCAGACCUGGUGAUCUUCGCUGAGCUUUUCUGGAACCCUGGGGUUCUCAUUCAGGCAGAGGAUAGAGUUCACCGUAUUGGACAGACCAGCAAUGUGAACAUUCACUACCUGGUUGCCAAGGGAACUGCUGAUGAUCACCUGUGGCCAAUGAUCCAGGAAAAAAUGAAUGUCCUGGAGCAAGUGGGUCUGUCAGAGUCAAACCUCUCAGACAAUGCAGUGAACGCCAGCUUCCACUCUAAGGACCCGAACCAGAAUAGCAUCAUGGAGAUGUUCCAGAGAUCUUUCUCUGCGGAUGACGACAUGGAUGAAGCCAUUUUAAUGGAGGCAGCAGACGACUGGGAAGACACUCCGCCUGAAACUACAUCUGGUCAAAACCACAGCAGCACCAUGGCUAGACAAAGCCCCAGCAAGAAGAGCAUCAAAGACUAUUUCAGCAGCUGACUUGGAAAAACGUACACUAGGGCCAAUGAACUCACGCCAUGCAGGCACAAUGUUAGCUGAGUCCUCUGUCUGAGAGAGGACCAGAAUAUGGGAGGGACCACUGGACAUAAACUGCACCAAGUCUUCAAAAGUGAAAGUAGCCGUUCCUCCUUAAGGUCAGAGAUUGCAGCAUUUGAGGGCCUCUUCAAAAGAAGACAUAGUUGAUGAAGAUGUUCUGGAGCAGGACCAGGAAGACCACGACCAAGCAGCCUUGAGAUCUUAGGCAGCGUCUCCCUCAGACCAAAGAACUACAGACUCUUCACAACCUGCUCAAACUCUUGGUACAGGACCUCACCACACGGGUCAAGAAGGUUUCCUUCUCAUUUCUACUCUGAAGCUCACCUUCUCCUGCUCAAACUGCUGACAAAUAUUUCUGCUGCUCCAAAGUCAAGGUCUCCAGAACUUCCUAAAAACUCUCAAAGUCUCUUCUGCUGCAGGUUGCUUUGUAGAACUGUUCCAGAAAACCUCACUAAACCACAUGGAGGGGCCUCAAGAUAGUCGUCCAAAUGAAACCGUACAACAACCAAACUAGCACAACCCAAACACUAAAGUCUCCUGCAGCCUACCAGAGAAGCUCUUUAAACAGAGAAUGAGGACAGGAACUCUUACCUUCUGGACAACCAACGCUGGUUCACAAACAAGAAUACAGAAUGUGUCUGACCAAAAACCUCUAAAGAUAAAGACACAACUCAGCUGCACAAAACCCACUAAUCACUACACACAUUAGCACUGUGUGCUAACUGUGGCUAAAGAACCACAUUUACCAAGACAACUAUCCAGUACAAAGCCCUAAAACACACCAAGAAACACAUUAAAGACGAUUUUACUGCUGGAAGCUGCAAGCCAACGCCUAAAGAACAAACUAAAGCAACAGAACCAAACCCAGUUUAGUGGUGAAGAGAAGCAGAGGAAAUGUUUGACUGCAGCCAUAAAGCAGGAAGACACUGAGCUGCUCAGGUGUUCCUGAUAACACCAAGCAGCCACCUGGACAGCCAAUAGGAACACAGCUUACUGGAAGUCCAGAGGGCUGGCUUAGUGAAGUAAAUUUAGUUUGAAGUUGAAGCAGAAAGUUAACAAAGAAAGUUGAAAAUCACCUUCUGAUACCUAAAAUCUCUUGAGUUUGCACACAUAGAACUCCUGAACAUGUCAAACUGGUUCCACAGUAGAACCUUCACUGUAAAAACAUCACAGUAUGGUGUGUUGCUCAAAAAACAUUACAACCCAGCUGUCUGGGGUCGCCAUGGAGCGACAUAUAAACAGGACAAAUACGGGUUUCCAGGGGGUUAGGAGGCUAUUUAUUUCAAAGAGUAAGUUUACAACAACACAACAUGUGAGCAGAAAAAUCACCAAGUCUGUCUUUAGUUCAGCUGAAAAUAUGAGUUUUUGUCUUUUCAUUGUUAUUAAUCUCAUGAUGUCUGAAUAAAGUUGGUAUUAAAAUAUU